UCGAGCGAUCUCUUCGUGAGUAGAGCGGCGGACGGGUGAGUAACGCGUGGGUAACCUGCCCUGUACACACGGAUAACAUACCGAAAGGUAUACUAAUACGGGAUAACAUACGAAAGUCGCAUGGCUUUUGUAUCAAAGCUCCGGCGGUACAGGAUGGACCCGCGUCUGAUUAGCUAGUUGGUAAGGUAAUGGCUUACCAAGGCAACGAUCAGUAGCCGACCUGAGAGGGUGAUCGGCCACACUGGAACUGAGACACGGUCCAGACUCCUACGGGAGGCAGCAGUGGGGAAUAUUGCACAAUGGGCGAAAGCCUGAUGCAGCAACGCCGCGUGAGCGAUGAAGGCCUUCGGGUCGUAAAGCUCUGUCCUCAAGGAAGAUAAUGACGGUACUUGAGGAGGAAGCCCCGGCUAACUACGUGCCAGCAGCCGCGGUAAUACGUAGGGGGCUAGCGUUAUCCGGAAUUACUGGGCGUAAAGGGUGCGUAGGUGGUUUUUUAAGUCAGAAGUGAAAGGCUACGGCUCAACCGUAGUAAGCUUUUGAAACUAGAGAACUUGAGUGCAGGAGAGGAGAGUAGAAUUCCUAGUGUAGCGGUGAAAUGCGUAGAUAUUAGGAGGAAUACCAGUAGCGAAGGCGGCUCUCUGGACUGUAACUGACACUGAGGCACGAAAGCGUGGGGAGCAAACAGGAUUAGAUACCCUGGUAGUCCACGCCGUAAACGAUGAGUACUAGGUGUCGGGGGGUUACCCCCCUCGGUGCCGCAGCUAACGCAUUAGUACUCCG
rnacentral:rRNA from 1 species